rnacentral:rRNA from 1 species
GACGAACGCUGGCGGCGUGCCUAACACAUGCAAGUCGAGCGAUGAAGUUUCCUUCGGGAAAUGGAUUAGCGGCGGACGGGUGAGUAACACGUGGGUAACCUGCCUCAUAGAGGGGAAUAGCCUCCCGAAAGGGAGAUUAAUACCGCAUAAUAUUACAGUUUCGCAUGAAACAGUAAUUAAAGGAGCAAUCCGCUAUGAGAUGGACCCGCGGCGCAUUAGCUAGUUGGUGAGGUAACGGCUCACCAAGGCGACGAUGCGUAGCCGACCUGAGAGGGUGAUCGGCCACAUUGUGACUGAGACACGGCCCAGACUCCUACGGGAGGCAGCAGUGGGGAAUAUUGCACAAUGGGGGAAACCUUGAUGCAGCAACGCCGCGUGAGUGAUGACGGUCUUCGGAUUGUAAAGCUCUGUCUUUGGGGACGAUAAUGACGGUACCCAAGGAGGAAGCCACGGCUAACUACGUGCCAGCAGCCGCCGUAACAC